rnacentral:rRNA from 1 species
ACGGGGCCGCACAAGCGGUGGAGCAUGUGGCUUAAUUCGAAGCAACGCGAAGAACCUUACCAGGUCUUGACGUCCCGAUGCUAUUUCUAGAGAUAGAAAGUUACUUCGGUACAUCGGUGACAGGUGGUGCAUGGUUGUCGUCAGCUCGUGUCGUGAGAUGUUGGGUUAAGUCCCGCAACGAGCGCAACCCCUAUUGUUAGUUGCCAUCAUUCAGUUGGGCACUCUAGCGAGACUGCCGGUAAUAAACCGGAGGAAGGUGGGAUGACGUCAAAUCAUCAUGCCCCUUAUGACCUGGGCUACACACGUGCUACAAUGGUUGGUACAACGAGUUGCGAGUCGGUGACGGCGAGCUAAUCUCUUAAAGCCAAUCUCAGUUCGGAUUGUAGGCUGCAACUCGCCUACAUGAAGUCGGAAUCGCUAGUAAUCGCGGAUCAGCACGCCGCGGUGAAUACGUUCCCGGGCCUU